rnacentral:rRNA from 1 species
GCUUGUCUCAAAGAUUAAGCCAUGCAUGUCUAAGUAUAAACAAAUCUAUACGUGAAACUGCGAAUGGCUCAUUAUAUCAGUUAUAGUUUAUUUGAUGGUUCUUGCUACUUGGAUAACCGUAGUAAUUCUAGAGCUAAUACAUGCGUCAAACCUCGACUUCUGGGAGAGGUGUAUUUAUUAGAUGGAAACCAAUGCGGGGCAACCCGGUAUAUGGUGAUUCAUAAUAACUUUCAGAUCGAUCGCAAGAUCGAUGCAUCAUUCAAGUUUCUGCCCUAUCAACUUUCGAUGGUAAGGUAUUGGCUUACCAUGGUUGCAACGGGUAACGGAGAAUUAGGGUUCGAUUCCGGAGAGGGCGCCUGAGAAAUGGCGACCACAUCCAAGGAAGGCAGCAGG